ensembl:lncRNA
GCUGCGGCCCCACCAGGGCAGCUGCAGGUGAUGGGCUGGCAGCCCAGUGCGGGCUGUGCGAGGGGCAGGGGGAGGGCAGCCCUGGGGCUGUGGGGGGCUGAUGGCAGUGGAUAGGGAAAUAGCGGACGGCAAGGCAGUUCUUGUCUUGACAGUACGUGAACUGCAAGGGAGUUGAUAGAUGGUGGCUAGCAGUAACAGAACCUUCUUUUGUCUUUGCUGCAGAGGAGUCCUUGCAGUUCACUUGACCCCCUCCUCCAGGAGGAAGCAGGAUCAGCGCCCGGUGCUGCCCCAGCGCCGGCAGAAGAACAGCGGCUCUUGGAAGCGUGACCUGCUGGGAGAUCGUCGGGGAGAAGAGGACGCGCCUUCUGCGCCGAGGGAGGUAUGUCAGUGUCUGUGCUCGUGGCCCAGCACACAGAACGUUCCUGGCUGGGAGGGGUGUGCCCAUGAGAUAAGGCAGGGCAGUGGAGGAGCUGAAGAUGACGGGAAAUGUUCUGCAUCUGCGUUUCUUGCACAGGCCGCUUCCUGGGUGUAACCACCAGUGGGGCUCUGACAGUUUCAAAAUGCUUUAGCCGGAGUUGGAGGUCGGAACCAAACGACAGACCUGUUCAUACACAGCUUUCUCUUUUGCAGUUCAAAGUCUUUCUUCCCUUCUCUUUGUGAUUGUCUCUGUUGACCUGGUGGCAACCAACUCUUCUCUUUUGCAUUUGUUUUGCUCAGCCUUCUCCUGUCAUCCGACCUUCAAGGAGACGAUGCUCAGCUGCUCCGGAACAGCCACGGAGGAAACAGACGGAAGAGGAGAGCCCAGAUGACUGCGCCCGUGUGAACUGCCAUGCAGAGACUGAAUGCAGAGACUGAGCCAGCAAACAACGGAGUAGAUAGCAUAGAGAGUUAGUUAACGCUAAAAUGUAUUAGUAUAGCAUAGUGCAGUUGUCAAAUAGCUUUGUAAAUAAAUUCACUUUGUUCGUAUCCUUAUCUUGUGUUGUGUAAAAUGAUGGGGAUGGGUAGUCUGAUACUUCAGGAAAUAAAUGAUUUGGAAACGUAUCUUUUCUGUUGUUGUGGUUUUUUGGGGGAGGGGUAGGGGGGUGGGCAGGAGGGGCUUACAGUGAAAUCCUGGACUGAAUUUACAGUUUGUGUCACACAAGGAAGUAGAAACACCUGUUCUAACAUUAGUUUGACCAUUGUUCAUGGCUGUCCAGCUCUGGAUUCUCAUCCACAGGGAGGUGCUGGGUUCCCAUUGCAGAGCUGGGAGCCCCAGCACAGCCAAGGGAAGCUCAGUGCGCCCCUCUGCAGAAGCACGUGUCUGCUGGAGACUGCAGGGGUGCUGCUGCUCUCUGUGUACUCAGUGCCAACAGCUUGUCCUUCCCGUGCUGAGUGAGAAGCCUGCUAAUCUCGCAUUACUUGUACUCUUGUCUAAAUCUGAUUUUUACAACCAUUAUGCUAGAACAAAUAGGAUUAAUCCAAUGGUGGAGUAUUACUCGAGCUUCACACCAGUCAGUGUGACUUGCAAACUGUAACCACUUCCAUCUGCACCAGAGCACAGAACUGCACUCUGUAUUUCUCCCCAUGCUUUUGUCACUUGCAUUUGUGUAACGUGGAGCUCUGGUUUUGACAGAGGCAGAAGGAAUCAUAGCAGUUUUUGCCUUUUAACAGGUCUGCCUGCGUUGGGAUUGUAGGUACUCCUUAGGGACCCUGCCCAAGCUUACAUACCUUUGUAAGGUUUGCUACGUACUGCAGAAGAGCAGCAAAUAAGUCAAAGCAGAAGGAUAAGCUGCACUAUUCAACAGCCCGUUCCUUAUAUUUGACCAGUUAGAACGUAAAGCCAUUUCAGCAGAAAGCACAGUUUAAGUCAUGGAGCAUAAAUACAUUUACUUCAGCAGAACAAAAUACAACUCCUGGAUAUUUAUUGCCAUUUUGAGGAUGUUAAUGAAGGAAACAAACCACGAUAAACCACAACGCUCCUCUUUGAAGAACCAGAUCCCAACCGUCACGUUUCCAUUGGCUCUCUGUGAAUUGGUGUUGCUGCACUGGGAGGAAAUCCCGAUAUACCCCAACAGACGGCAGGGAAGAAAACCAACAGCUGUCCCUUCAGCACCGGGCAGCCCCUGCACAGCGCCUGGCAGUGCCAUAGGCAGCCCAAAGCACAGUGUGUGAAUCGACACUGAAGGACACCGCUGGCAGGAAGUCAAUGAAUGUGGGUAUCUUCUGCCGCUCCCCAGGCACACAGCUCAGUAAGUUCACAGGCAUAAGCUUCCCUUGCACUUCUGGAGGGAGGUGUUCCCUGCUGUGGUCCUCUGAAACUAUCGGUGUUGGACUUCAGAACACCAGCAGAGGAGAGCAGAUGAUGACGUGGCUGCAGCUCCAGCGCAUGGGUUUGUACUGUGCAGCCACUGCGUCUCAGAAACACUCCUUUGUGAAUCUCUUCCUUUUUCAUGGCACAGCAGCAACACAGCACCCCAGGAACUGUAUCUCUGGGGUCAAUUCCUCUGAUUCACAUCUGGCACUGCUUUGGAAAACAAGGCUGCAGAGUGUGUUCCUGUGUCACUCAUCCAUCACCUCUGAUCAAACAUCCGUGCCUUCACUGACCCACUUAAAAACACGAAUGAAAUAGCUGAGCUUCCUUUAAAAAGAAUAAUCCUGUAGUUUGUACUUGUGCUCCUCCCAUUACACUAACACAACUAACAGGUAUUAAAGCAAGAGUUCCACCUUCUCAUACCAGCAAUAAACACCCUUGAACAUUAUGUUCCUUACACCCUACAUUUCAUAGAACCAUAGAGCAGCUUGGGUUGGAAAGGACCUCAAGGAUCAUGAAGCUCCAACACCCUGCCACAGGCAGGGCCACCAACCUCCACAUUUAAUACCGCACCAGGCUGCCCAGGGCCCCUUCAACACCUCCAGGGGAGGACAUCCACAGCCUGUCUGGGCAGCUGUUCCAGCACCUCACCACUCCCAUAGUAAAGAACUUCCCCCUGACAUCCAACCUAAAUCUUCCCUCCUUCAACUUAAAACCAUUUUGCUUUUGCUUCAUGUAAAUUCACUGUCCAUGUGAACUCACCAGAUGACAAAAUGAGCAGAGCUGUAGCUGAUUCCAAGGUGAAAGGAAAGGUAAUCUCACUGCACAUGGUGACGUGGCCAACGGCUUGCUCAGAGCCACUGUUGCUUUUGGCUUUAAGAAAUACUGCUGUCUCCUUCUUCUGCCACAUUGGUUGAAGGUGGCUUCUGCCUUGGCACAGCAUCCAAAACCGUCCCAAGAUCCAUAAUGGGGUUUGCUACCAAGUGCUAUCUUACACUCCUCUUACCACGGUUUACACAGCAUUUUGCUGUUCUGUAUUACAAGAACAGAGAUUGCUUCUGCAGCCAAUUACCUGUGUUAAAAAGGAGCAGUGGGGGCAGAAAUGCAUCACUUGAUGUUAUAACACAUUUUAAUUAG